rnacentral:ncRNA from 1 species
GAGUUUGAAAAGAGGGCAAGUUAGCGCUCCCGUAGACAAAGAUGGAAUCACAUAAAUGACUGGAAAAGCGCAAUUGUAUUCUUAUGGCUUACUAUACUUCAUAUGCAGGAAUGGAUUUGA